rnacentral:rRNA from 1 species
AUGGAAGAAAAGCUGUCUAGUAUGCGACAAGAUGUCAUUCAGGAAUUUGUGGCGCUUUAUCAAAGAAUAGGGCCUUAUCUACCAAUUGAGCCCUACUUGGUCGAUGAAGCGCUUCGUUCCUAUCUGGACCAUAUUCACGCAACUGAUUCUUUCACUGUUCUCCAAGCGUCUUAUCAAGAUCUGCGGGAGAAUGAGGGAGGAUCUGUUUUCUUUAGAGAUGAUGUUUCCCACAACCGGGAUCUCCUUGAGGCGGAAAGCUCCGCAAGGAGGUGCCUGGAAGUGGAACAAAGGAUCUGA